AGGCUGUGACUUGUGCAAGUUUUGUGAUAUAUGAUCAAAUUGCACUUGUCCCGGCCUGA
rnacentral:pre_miRNA from 1 species